rnacentral:rRNA from 1 species
CAGCAGUGGGGAAUAUUGCACAAUGGGGGAAACCCUGAUGCAGCCAUGCCGCGUGUGUGAAGAAGGCCUUCGGGUUGUAAAGCACUUUCAGUAGGGAGGAAGGUAGUGUAGUUAAUACCUGCAUUAUUUGACGUUACCUACAGAAGAAGCACCGGCUAACUCCGUGCCAGCAGCCGCGGUAAUACGGAGGGUGCGAGCGUUAAUCGGAAUUACUGGGCGUAAAGCGCAUGCAGGCGGCCUGUUAAGUCAGAUGUGAAAGCCCGGGGCUUAACCUCGGAAUUGCAUUUGAAACUGGCAGGCUAGAGUCUUGUAGAGGGGGUAGAAUUUCAGGUGUAGCGGUGAAAUGCGUAGAGAUCUGAAGGAAUACCAGUGGCGAAGGCGGCCCCCUGGACAAAGACUGACGCUCAGAUGCGAAAGCGUGGGGAGCAAACAGGAUUAGAUACCCUGGUAG